ACAGUUUAUACCGUAGCUUGCUACACCAUAGACUGUGAGUUGCGAACGGGUGAGUAACGCGUAGGUAACCUGCCUAUUAGAGGGGGAUAACUAUUGGAAACGAUAGCUAAUACCGCAUAACAGUAUGUAACACAUGUUAGAUGCUUGAAAGAUGCAAUUGCAUCGCUAGUAGAUGGACCUGCGUUGUAUUAGCUAGUAGGUAGGGUAAAGGCCUACCUAGGCAACGAUACAUAGCCGACCUGAGAGGGUGAUCGGCCACACUGGGACUGAGACACGGCCCAGACUCCUACGGGAGGCAGCAGUAGGGAAUCUUCGGCAAUGGGGGGAACCCUGACCGAGCAACGCCGCGUGAGUGAAGAAGGUUUUCGGAUCGUAAAGCUCUGUUGUUAAGGAAGAACGAGUGUGAGAAUGGAAAGUUCAUACUGUGACGGUACUUAACCAGAAAGGGACGGCUAACUACGUGCCAGCAGCCGCGGUAAUACGUAGGUCCCGAGCGUUGUCCGGAUUUAUUGGGCGUAAAGCGAGCGCAGGCGGUUAGAAAAGUCUGAAGUGAAAGGCAGUGGCUCAACCAUUGUAGGCUUUGGAAACUGUUUAACUUGAGUGCAGAAGGGGAGAGUGGAAUUCCAUGUGUAGCGGUGAAAUGCGUAGAUAUAUGGAGGAACACCGGUGGCGAAAGCGGCUCUCUAGUCUGUAACUGACGCUGAGGCUCGAAAGCGUGGGGAGCGAACAGGAUUAGAUACCCUGGUAGUCCACGCCGUAAACGAUGAGUGCUAGGUGUUAGGUCCUUUCCGGGACUUAUGCCGUAGCUAACGCA
rnacentral:rRNA from 1 species